rnacentral:lncRNA from 1 species
GGUGAAAAGAACAAAGUUUUGUCCAUCUUUGUUCAUCAUAGCUGAAAGUUAGAGAAGAGAAAAGAGAUGAGAAAGCUCUUGAGUAUUCAGUCAUUAGGAGGAGGAAAAUUGAAGGUAAGUUCUUGGUACCUUGAUUCUAUUUUGAGGUUCAUGAGUUCUUCUUGAUUCUACCUUAACUCUUGAAGUAUAUUUUGAUUUUUAGUUGUGUUGUGAGCAUUUAGUCAUGAAUUAAAAUGAAGGAAAUGGUUGUUGUUUCAUGUUCUUUUGAUGAAAAAUGGAAGAUAGGUGAAGUUGAGUCAAACAAAUGAGCAUGCAUGUGCCUUAGAUGUUAAAGGGAAAAAUCAGCUAACAUGUUGUGUUUUAAAAUGAUGAAAUGGAAAUUAUACUUAAGUAAAAUCAUAGAUAUGUGAUGAUUGAUUGGUGAUAUACAUGUUUAAAUAACAUGCAUGCAAGGUAUGUGUGAAAGAGUGAUUUGGUAAUAAAUCUGCUUGGGACAGCAGCAGUAACGUGACUUUGGAAAAUCACCAUAAAUUGUGGGAGAAGAAUUAGAAGCUGAAUAAAUUAUGUAAUUAAAGCUUAUUAAGUCUAGUUUCUAAUGAAAUAAACAAGAACAUAUUUUGGAUUCUGUACAAUGAGAAAUUUGAUUCGUAAUGAAGGGUGGUCAGAUUAGUCAAACAGAGAAACAUGGGAAAAUUUGAGAAAAUUCUGGUAUUGAUUGGCUAAACCAAAAAUUCUGAAAAUUUUAUGGAUAGAAGAUAUAUGAGUCUAUUUUCAGGGAAAAGUAACGGCACUUGAUUUGGAGUUUCGUAGCUCUAGUUAUAAAUAAUUUAGUGACUGUUGCUCAGGAAGACAGCUUGCAGUGAAAUUAUGAUUAUGUGGUAAACAUUGACAAAAAUUUGUUAAUGAGUUGCUUAUUGAUUUCUUAUAAGCUUACUAUGAUCUGUAGGUGUGGUUGGCCGAAUAUUGUAAGGGGUUAAUACGUAGUUUGUAUUUGAAUAGUUAGAUUAACGUGUUAGUAAUCCAAUUGUAGGCGGUUCGUGUGUGGAUCUCGUCAGCAUAUCGUCGCAAACAGGUGUGUAACUGACACCCUCUCAUAGACUAGAUUGGCAAAAGCCGAAAAGCCGAAAAGUCGGUAUUUUGGGAAUUUACGAGUGUGCGAAUGCUCGUAAGAUAGUUGGGUUUGUAUAUCUGGUAAUCUAAAGUAAUAAACUGCAGUACGCGCGAUUUCGUACAUUUUGAUAAUUUGGGCUUAAUGGGCCAAAGAUCGGGUUCAUGGGCCAACGGGCCCAAUUCAGUAAGUAUGUGCGGUAAGUGUUCUGAUAGUACGUAAAUAGUUUGGAUAUGCAUGAAAACCCUAAAAGUAGCUAAAUUACUAUAAUACCCCUAUGUAUGGAAAAUUACUGUUAUACCCCUAGGUGCAAAAUUACCGUUAUACCCCUAGGGUUAAUUUUGACUGAAAAGCAUGACGAUCUGAUUCUGUAUGAUGUAUGCCAUGAUUAUAUAUCUGUUGCAUGGGGACAUGGGUUAUAUUAUGGAGGAAGCGUUCUGGUGGCUAUGCCACAAAUAUCUGACCUAGUGGCUCUACCACAAAUAUCUGAUCUGGUGGCUCUGCCACAUAUAUUUGUUCUGGUGGCUCUGCCACGAUUAUCUGUAUCUGGUGACUCUGUCACAUUAUCUGUUCUGGCAGCCAUGCUGCAAAUUCUGUGGUGUGUAGCGGUUGGGUGGGUCGAGUUGUCUCCCCACACGGUGUAAGGUUGGUAUGGGGGUGUAUACGGUUGGAUAUGGUUGGGUUUCUGCAUAAACAUGUAAUAUCUGUUCUGUUCUGCUAUGGGCCUAUGGGCUUUAUUCUGAAUUCUAUUCUGGGCUCAGGCCAACUUAUUCUAUUUCUGUGGUUUGAGCUGAUAUAGGCUAUGGUUGGGUUAAUUUACACACUGAGUUUUCCCCAAACUCACCCUUUUUAUUUUCAUCCACGCAGGUAAUCCCCAACCAUAGUGGGCUUGGAGCUGUGAGGGAAUUCGGAGUGGCCACCCAUUCUGAAAGUUUGAUUUUCUUCUGGUGAACUGAACAUCCUUUUAUUUACGUUUGAUGUUUUGGGUUUUUAAAUGUAAUAAGGCCGCUUAAUUAUUUUUGAUGGUUUUAAUAUGUAUUACUAAGAUAUGUAUUACUUAUUUUAACUGUUGAAAUUGGAUAGCUUUAGGGCACGUUUCCAAAAACAACAAUUGAUUUCAAAAUAACACGACAACAAGCAAA